GAAUAUAUGUCUUUAAGUUAUUAAUUCUUUGGACAAUUCAAGGACACAUUAUACAAGAAUGAAAAUAAAAUUAUUCACUUUAUUGAUAACAACAAUUGGGAGGCAUCUUAGCCCAUGCUGGGACCCCAUAAAUGAAACCCUUAGAACAAGUCUGAGGGCACGAUUGAAGUAUCUGACUGGAAAAGCCUCAGAGAAUUACUUUAGAACCCAAUAGACCAGGUCUUCAGACUUUCAACAAUAAGAUAAAUGUAGUAAAAUUAUAGAACAUGCCAGAAGAUCAUAGGCUCACGGGAGGUUUUGACUUGGGAAGAUUUCAAGACCACACGGAUUGAAGUUGGCUUCAAAACAAGGACAUCGAGCUCCAACAAGUAAAAUCAUUAUUUCCUUGAAAAAUUUCUACAAGACCUUAAAGAGUGAAGUGGAACAAAAAUAAAAUACAAAAAAAAGGUCUACCAGUCUUCAGCAUCAAUUAGGAAUCUAGGUAGAGCCUUGGACCCAUCGCCA
rnacentral:lncRNA from 1 species